GACUUUCUGUCUGGGUCCGCGGUGCUCCCUGCCACCGAGGACUUGCCCAUUCAAGCGCACAAUGUCCCUGUCAGUCCCGACAACACUUCCUGCCUCUGCUGGCUCCAGCCCUCGCAGGGAUACACAAUAUUUCACAGCUCCCAACAAUGGCCUGUCUGCCUGCACCCACCAUAUGGUUACUAUGGGCCACAAUAUUGACACACAUCACUAAUUAUUCAAAGAGCUGAGAGAGUGAGAGAGAGAGAGUGAGUGAGGGAGCGGAGGAGAAGGGGACUGAGGAAGGCAUCUGCAGGUUGAUUUCUGCAGGCGGGAUGCAGAAAAUGUAAUGAAAUGUGAGCCGUGUAUGCACACACCAUGAGGAAAAGACUUCAAGAAGGAGCUUCCUUAUGGCAUGGGAAAUAAUAUAACACCGCUAAAUGAUGUGAUCUUUGACCGCUGCCAAGAUGAAGAAGAUGCAGAUGAAAAGAAAAGAAAAGCAGGACAUUAAGUCAGUCUGCAAUCUGUGGUUGUUUACAGAAUUGUUUAUUGUUGAAACUGCAAACACAGUUAUUUCAUAUGUUACAGAUUAGUGAUAAAUGUUACCUUGAUUGAUCAUUAAAUGUGCAGCACUUCAGCAUUAGCUGCAUUGUACAGAUACGUCAACAUCAUAGUCUGUUACUUAUUUUCUUUUGUAUGUUUUGUUAUUUUGUACACAUCAACAUAUUCUAAUUUAACUGAUACUGAACUGAAAAAUAUUUAAUUUUGAUUCACCUUGUACAAAUUGAGUUAGGAGACAUGUCGUUAACAGCUACCUGGAGAAGAAAGAGAAAAUAUUGUGCAGCAGACUCAAUAUUUUUUCAUCCAGAUGGGCCUCAAAGAAGAAAUACCUUCAGGGAGCGCCUUAGCAGGAGGGAAACUUGUUUUCAAAAUGACUUAACCACAUAUUCUUGUAUUCAGAUCUUAGAAUUAGUUUCAGAUCCAGUGGAUUUAGUAGAAACUUUUACAUUUCCACAUUUUUGGGGUCAUAUAACUGCAGUUUCAAAAGGGUGAAACUCUU